GGAGGUAGUGACAAUAAAUCACAAUGCGGGACUAUUUAGUUUUGCAAUUGAAUUGAGAACAAUGUACAAGAGUUAUCGAUAAACAAUUGGAGGGCAAGUCUGGUGCCAGCAGCCGCGGUAAUUCCAGCUCCAAUAGCGUAUAUUAACGUUGUUGCAGUUAAAAAGCUCGUAGUUGAAGUGUGGGAUAAUGUAUAUUGGAUCUUUUUGUGAAGAUAUAUGUUGUCCCCCCUCCAAUUUCGGUCUGUGGGUAUUAAUUUACUUGCAGUUCGUGUUGGUCAUUUACUGUGAGAAAAUUAGAGUGUUCAAAGCAGGCAUUUGCUUGAAUAUAUUAGCAUGGAAUAAUAUUAAAAGGCUUGUAUGGUCGAUUUAAUUGGUUUGUUCAUAUAAGCAAGAUUAAUAGGGACAGUUGGGGGUAUUCAUAUUCAAUAGUUAGAGGUGAAAUUCUCGGAUUUAUGGAAGAUGAACAA
rnacentral:rRNA from 1 species